rnacentral:rRNA from 1 species
GUGAGGAAUUUUCCGCAAUGGGCGAAAGCCUGACGGGGCAAUGCCGCGUGAAGGAUGAAGGCCUAUGGGUUGUAAACUUCUUUUCUCAGAAAAGAAUUAUGACGGUAUCUGAGGAAUAAGCAUCGGCUAACUCUGUGCCAGCAGCCGCGGUAAGACAGAGGAUGCAAGCGUUAUCCGGAAUGAUUGGGCGUAAAGCGUCUGUAGGUUGUUUAAAAAGUAUUCUGUCAAAGAUUAGGGCUUAACCCUAGAUAGGCAGAAUAAACUUUUAAGCUAGAGUUUGGUAGAGGCAGAGGGAAUUCCCGGUGGAGCGGUGAAAUGCGUAGAUAUCGGGAGGAACACCAAAGGCGAAGGCACUCUGCUGGGCCAAUACUAACACUGAGAGACGAAAGCGAGGGGAGCAAAUGGGAUUAGAAACCCUGGUAGUCC